rnacentral:rRNA from 1 species
UACGUAGGGGGCAAGCGUUGUCCGGAUUUAUUGGGCGUAAAGAGCGUGUAGGCGGCUUUAUAGGUCCGUUGUGAAAACUCGAGGCUCAACCUCGAGACGCCGGUGGAAACCGUAAGGCUAGAGUCCGGAAGAGGAGAGUGGAAUUCCUGGUGUAGCGGUGAAAUGCGCAGAUAUCAGGAAGAACACCCGUGGCGAAGGCGGCUCUCUGGGACGGUACUGACGCUGAGGCACGAAAGCGUGGGGAUCAAACAGG